UGAUAGAACUUCAAACGAAUUCAUUAUUUCUUGUUACUAGAAAUUUAUCGCUCGACAGGAUUACAAAAAUAUACGGAAGGAAGUUCAUCGAACUGGUUGGUUAAAUUCUUCCAGGAUAAUUUGUCACACAUUUGUUGUGGUUUCAUCGAGGUCGUCUAAAAGGAUAAAAGACGCAUUUUAAAGGACACAGCAAACUCGUUAUAACGUUCUAGCUCUUUCAUUUGACAAAUUUAAAUCAUGGACUCGUGAGGAUCAUAUGCGAUGACUUUCAAUGGAUACGAGUAAUGACAUCGAGUGUUUCUCGGGACUUCUGCCGUCAAGUGGAACUGAUAAAUAUUCAUCGCUAGAGAGUAAAACAGCGAUCUACCUACGUCAUAAGCAUCAGGCAGAUCAUACUGAAGAGAGAAUGAGAAAUCGAUAUCUUGAUGAACAAAAGAAGAUUCGCCGAUUAAUUUUUCUUGAUGGUUCAUAAAAACACAUUGUUUUAAACGAUAAAGAAAACAGAUAGACUUAUUAACGUCAAUAAGAUUUAUUUAUUAAAUUAAUUUUAUUUAUUUUAUUUAUUAAUAACACGUAUAUGCGUUUGUGUGUCUAGAAUUAAUAGGACAAUAAGUUACAGGUGACAUCGUAGUUGUGAUGUCGACGGGUGCAAAGGUUUUCCAUGGGAUACGGCUUGCAAUCGAUAUGCUUUGACGGCAGACAAAGGUUGUGUCCUGCGUGAAAGAAAAAGGGCUGUGUUAUGUCGCGUGUUUAGCAAAGCUCAUAUAUGUACACGUUGAUGUAUACUUACAUGCAGAUCAUUUCCAUGUCGAAAUAAUUCAAUGACACCAUCCUCCUUACUUUGACGCCCUCGAAAGAUGUAUAUAAACAAGAUAUCGACGAUCGAACUAUCAUUUAUUCAAAGAUGUAUUAUAUCGGCCUAAAAAUGUAUUUUAUCGAUCGGUUAAUAAUGGACCUCAAUUAAGAGACAAAUAAUUCUUUGUUUGAUACUAGGUUUUCUUAAUGAAAAACUCCGAAAGAUUUAUCAGAAAGGGAUUUAUCAUAGAGAGGAGGGAAAACACUUGCGUCAUAAAAAGAGAUAAGGAGAAAGGGAAUGAGCCGAACCGAAACGAAAAUUCGAUCUUCAUUCACGAGUACGAGCAUUCUUCCCCUACCAAGAUUGCCUCGUGUUGUACGCACAGCUAGGA